GGGUGGGUCCGGCGCGGCGAAGUCCUGCGAACCGUGUCAGGUCCGAGAGGAAGCAGCACUAAGUAGGUGUCUUUGGGUGCCGCCGGGGUGCCUGCCCGGA
rnacentral:SRP_RNA from 1 species